GAGCACGCGCGUGUGGCAUAUCAAUAAGCGGAGGAAAAGAAACUAACAAGGAUUCCCCUAGUAACGGCGAGUGAAGCGGGAAGAGCUCAAAUUUGAAAUCUUAAAGGGUUUCCCUUUACGAAUUGUAGUUUAAAGAAGUGUUUUCUGUUGGAGUUUCGGUAAAAGUUCUUUGGAAUAGGACAUCAUAGAGGGUGAGAAUCCCGUAUUUGACCGUUACUUUCCAGCUGUGUGAUACACUUUCAAAGAGUCGGAUUGUUUGGGAAUGCAGUCCAAAAUGGGUGGUAAAUUUCAUCUAAAGCUAAAUAUUGGCGAGAGACCGAUAGCGAACAAGUACCGUGAGGGAAAGAUGAAAAGAACUUUGAAAAGAGAGUUAAACAGUACGUGAAAUUGUCAAAAGGGAAGCGUUUGACACCAGUGUUGUUUAGUUGAAAAUCAAUUAAAUAUUUUUCGAUUUUAAGUAGUAUGGACCUUAUCAGCUUGCUGCUUUUUUCUCGGAAAUUAUUUAAUGCACUUUUCAGUUAACAAGUCAACAUCAAUUUCUUUUGUUGUAAAAAGGUAAGAGGAAGGUGGCUUGCGCUUCGGCUCAAGUGUUUAUAGCCUUUUACCUCUGCAAUCGGAGAGAUUGAGGUCUGCAGCGUAGAUCCUUCGGGGUUAGAUAGCAUUUGUGCUAUGCUAUAGCCUUGUAUAGACAACUUGUUGACUAUGCUCAGUCAUGUAGCUUACUCGCUUAUGCUAUUUUACCUACGCUUAGGAUGUUGAGUCAUCACACAUCUCU
rnacentral:rRNA from 1 species